GAGAUGCAUCGCCCGGCGGAGGAACGGAUUUGGUCAGGAGUCCGAGGGCAGAGUAGAGACUCCGGAUUGGACAGGAGCAGACUUGGGGCGGAGAUAUGGAUGCAAACAAGGGACAAGGGCAGGAUUGGAGCAAUCUUGAGCUGCACACAGCUUCCGAUCAGCCAGUUUGGGCAUGGAACGGCCUGCGACAGUAGACCCUGGAAAGGCAGUCAGCAAGAGGAUGACACCAAGGAGCACUGGGGACCACGCCAUCAUGGACUAUGGAACAACAGUGACCAGGUACAGAACCAGAGGAGCUAAUGUGGAAAACCACCUUGGAAUUUCCUGUGCUGAGGGGCAGAACAAAGCAACCUUUUGAUUACCAGGCCCACCUCUCAGAUGAUCCAGUGAAUACUUUAUGUUGGGCCUCGGGCUAG